AGAGCGAACGCUGGCGGCAGGCCUAACACAUGCAAGUCGAGCGCCCGUAGCAAUACGGGAGCGGCAGACGGGAGAGUAACACGUGGGAACGCGCCCUUCGGUUCGGAAUAACUCAGGGAAACUUGAGCUAAUACCGGAUACGCCCUUACGGGGAAAGAUUUAUUGCCGAAGGAACGGCCCGCGUCCGAUUAGCUAGUUGGUGAGGUAAUGGCUCACCAAGGCGACGAUCGGUAGCUGGUCUGAGAGGAUGACCAGCCUCACUGGGACUGAGACACGGCCCAGACUCCUACGGGAGGCAGCAGUGGGGAAUAUUGGACAAUGGGCGCAAGCCUGAUCCAGCCAUGCCGCGUGAGUGAUGAAGGCCUUAGGGUUGUAAGCUCUUUUAGCAGGGAAGAUAAUGACGGUACUGCAAGAAAACGCCCGGACUAACUCGCGCCAGCAGCCGC
rnacentral:rRNA from 1 species